ensembl:lncRNA
AACUCAUGGCUAUGUCAUCCGUCUAACUUGCCAAAUGUUGAAAUUAACACGUUUAUUUCAUCUGGGGUUUUAAAAGUGGCAGAUUUAGUUGACACAGAACAUAGUACAUGGUUUUCAGUACAAGAAAUAACUAAACAAAUGGGUAAGAAGUCAGAAAGGAUAGUGAAGAAUGUUUUAAUUAAGUUAAAAUCAUUAUUUCCUAUAUCAUUUAACAAGUUUCUUGAAGAUUAUUUUGUUAAUGGUUCAAAUCAAAUGGUUCAAAUGUUUUUUCCUGAAUUAUUUGUAAUACCAUAUAAUUGCCAGGAUAAUGGAGAUAUGAGGCAACUUCUAUCCUUAAAAGAACUUCAACAUAUGUCUUUUUCAGAAAGCAGUAAGCGACUUUUGUAUAUAGCUUGUGUGAAGUCAAUAUUUUGUGAACAAAUUAAAAACAAGACGGAUACAAAAUGGAGGAGUUAUUUAUCUGUCCCUGACUUUCAAUUACCUUCAUGGCGUUUGUUUUAUAAAAGUCCAUUGCCCAAACGAUCAGGUGAUUUACAGUGGCGUAUCUUGCACUGUGCAUUAGCAACAAAAACAUUUUUGUUUAAGUGCAACUUUAGUACAUCUUCAGUUUGCAAAUUUUGUAAUGUAUCAGAUACUGUUUUUCACAUUUUUUCUGACUGUUAUAGAAUUGUACCUCUUUUGAAUCUCUUAGAAAAUUUAUUUAGAGGUUUUGGUUGGAGUUUUCCAAAAACGGUAUUUAUUUUUGGGGUUAAAUAUAUAAAGUCUCAAAGUGAGUCCUGCACCUUCUCCAAUUUUUUAAUUGGUCAAGCGAAGUUAACCAUUUGGAAAGCAUACCAAUUUGAAAAGGAAGAUAAAAUUAUUAAUAUAAGUAGGAUUGUUCAAAGCUUUGGUAGAAUCCAGAGUUUAAAUAGAGUAUGAAUUUUAUAAAAUGAACAAUUAUAUGUUAAUUUUUAAAAAAAAGUGGUGUAUAAAUGCAGAUUUUAUUUUUGUGAAUGAUGAUGAUAAAUUAGUGUUUCAGUGGUACUGUUGAAAUUUGAAAGAAUUAAUGUUGAAUUUAAAAUUUUAUUUAUUACUCAUUGUUACUAAGUAUUGUUAUGAAUUAUGGAAAUGUGAUGAUCAUCGUAUAAUAUGAUAGAAAAAUAAAAGUGGAUGAAAGUCUCUCUC